GCGAGCCACAGUGCAAGACUUCCACUAGACUGUAAAAGGCUGAAGAUUGGGAGGAAAAUCUCUCCAGCAGAGGCUCAAUCAGGCUCGAGGCAGUGGUGAGCGGAAAAGCGUCUCAGAACACACAACACAUCAGCACUCACUGAAACUGGACAGAUGAAGACUGGAAAAAAAGACAAGACAGUUCUAUGCAAACUCUACAGACUGUUGUGUGUGAAAAUCCCAGGAGAUCAGCAGUUUUUGAAAUACUCAAACCAGUCCAUCUGGUACCAACAACCAUGCCAAAGUUAGUCACAGAGAUCACACUUUUUCCUGAUUGUGAUGUACAUUCUGUUAAUGGUCUGAUGAAUAUUAACUGAAGCUCUCAACCUGUAUCUGCAUGAUUAU